rnacentral:miRNA from 1 species
UGUCCCUUUGUUUUCUCUCAG